rnacentral:rRNA from 1 species
UGCGUAGGCGGGCUAAUAAGUCAGUGGUGAAAUCUCUCGGCUCAACCGGGAAACUGCCAUUGAUACUGUUAGUCUUGAGUUCGGUUGAGGUAGGCGGAAUGCGUAAUGUAGCGGUGAAAUGCUUAGAUAUUACACAGAACACCAAUUGCGUAGGCAGCUUACUAGACCGACACUGACGCUGAGGCAUGAAAGCGUGGGGAGCGAACAGGAUUAGAUACCCUGGUAGUCC